rnacentral:rRNA from 1 species
CCUAACAGCUAGCCCACCAACCCAGUUAACACUUAUUUAUACAUACCUCUUCAUGUACUAAAAUAAAAAACCAAACCAUUUCACCCCCUAAGUAUGGGCGACAGAAAAGAAACUAUGGAGCAAUAGAAAAAGUACCGCAAGGGAACGCUGAAAGAGAAAAUGAAACAACCCAGUAAAGCUAAAAAAAGCAGAGCCCACACCUCGUACCUUUUGCAUCAUGAUUUAGCAAGCAAUAAUCAAGCAAAAGGCAUUUUAGUUUGACCCCCCGAAACCAAGUGAGCUACUCCAAGACAACCUGAACAUAGGGUAAACCCGUCUCUGUGGCAAAAGAGUGGGAAGAGCUUUGAGUAGAGGUGAUAGACCUAUCGAACUUGGUAAUAGCUGGUUGCUUGAGAAAUGAAUAGAAGUUCCGCUUCUUAUAUUCUUACCCCCUUCUGGCUUCAUGCCUUACCACAGAUAAAAGAAAAUUAAGAAAGUUAGUCAAAGGGGGUACAGCCCCUUUGAAACAAGAUACAACUUUUUCAGGAGGAUAAAGAUCAUAAUUCAUUAAAGUACUAGUGCUUUGGUGGGCCUAAGAGCAGCCACCCAAUCAGAAAGCGUUAAAGCUCGAGCACUCCUACCUCUCUAAUUCCGAUAAUUAAUCUUAACCCCCUAAAUAUAUCAAGCCGCCCCAUUAAAACAUGGGAGUGAUAAUGCUAAUAUGAGUAACAAGAGAAUAAGUCUCUCUCCCCGCACGUGUGUAAAUCGGAACGGACCCCCCACCGAAACUUAACGGGCCCAAACUAAGAGGGCAUUGAAUAAAAGAUAAGCUACUAGAAAACUAUCCAAAAUCCCACCGUUAACCCCACACUGGCGUGCCCCCUGGGAAAGGCUAAAAGGAAAAGAAGGAACUCGGCAAACAUACUACAAGCCUCGCCUGUUUACCAAAAACAUCGCCUCUUGCAAACUUCGUAUAAGAGGUCCUGCCUGCCCUGUGACCCCUGGUUUAACGGCCGCGGUAUUCUGACCGUGCAAAGGUAGCGCAAUCACUUGUCCCUUAAAUGAGGACCCGUAUGAAUGGCACGACGAGGGCUUAACUGUCUCCUUUUCCCAGCCAAUGAAAUUGAUCUUCCCGUGCAGAAGCGGGAAUUCUAACAUAAGACGAGAAGACCCUAUGGAGCUUUAGACGCUGGCACAGACCAUUCUAACUACCCCCCCCCCCUUUUUUUUAAGGGGGUUAGAAUAAUUGAGAUCUGUCCCCCGUCUUUGGUUGGGGCGACCACGGGGAACAAAAAAACCCCCAUGUGGAUAGAGAGAACACCCCUCCCACAGCUAAGAGCCACAGCUCUAAACCACAGAAUUUCUGACCAAAAUGAUCCGGCAACGCCGAUCAACGGACCCAGUUACCCUAGGGAUAACAGCGCAAUCCUCUUUAAGAGUCCAUAUCGACAAGAGGGUUUACGACCUCGAUGUUGGAUCAAGACAUCCUAAUGGUGCAACCGCUAUUAAGG